rnacentral:rRNA from 1 species
GCGUGUCUUAACACAUGUCAAGUCGAACGAGAACGGGUAUUAGUUUACUAAUACUGUCAGCUAAGUGGCGCACGGGUGAGUAAUAUAUAGUUAAUCUGCCUUAGAGAAGAGAAUAAUUGCUGGAAACGGCUUGUAAUGCUCUAUAUGCCUUUAAUACAUAAGUAUGCAAGGGAAACAUUUAUGGCUCUAAGAUGAGACUGUACAGUAUCAGAUAGUUGGUGGGGUAAUGGCCUACCAAGUCAAUGACGCUUAACUGGUUUGAGAGGAUGAUCAGUCACACUGGAACUGAGACACGGUCCAGACUCCUACGGGAGGCAGCAGUGGGGAAUAUUGCACAAUGGACGAAAGUCUGAUGCAGCAACGCCGCGUGGAGGAUGACACAUUUCGGUGCGUAAACUCCUUUUAUAUGAGAAGAUAAUGACGGUAUCAUAUGAAUAAGCACCGGCUAACUUCGUGCCAGCAGCCGCGGUAAUACGAGGGGUGCAAGCGUUACUCGGAAUCACUGGGCGUAAAGAGAAUGUAGGCGGUUAAUUAAGUUAGAAGUGAAAUCCUAUGGCUCAACCAUAGAACUGCUUCUAAAACUGAUUAACUAGAAUAUGGGAGAGGUAGAUGGAAUUUCUGGUGUAGGGGUAAAAUCCGUAGAGAUCAGAAGGAAUACCGAUUGCGAAGGCGAUCUACUGGAACAUUAUUGACGCUCAGAUUCGAAAGCGUGGGGAGCAAACAGGAUUAGAUACCCUGGUAGUCCACGCCCUAAACGAUGUACACUAGUUGUUGCUAUGCUCGACAUAGCAGUAAUGCACCUAACGGAUUAAGUGUACCGCCUGGGGAGUACGGUCGCAAGAUUAAAACUCAAAGGAAUAGACGGGGACCCGCACAAGCGGUGGAGCAUGUGGUUUAAUUCGACGAUACGCGAAGAACCUUACCUGGCCUUGACAUAGAUAGAAUAUAGCAGAGAUGUAAUAGUGCUGGUUUACCAGAGCUAUCAUACAGGUGCUGCACGGCUGUCGUCAGCUCGUGUCGUGAGAUGUUGGGUUAAGUCCCGCAACGAGCGCAACCCACGUGAUUAGUUGCUAACAGUUCGGCUGAGAACUCUA